GUGAACGCAGACCACCCUGAAAGUGCCUGAUCUUGGAAGCGAUCCAGGGCUGUGCCUGGUUAGUACCUGGUAUAGGAGACCGCCUGGGAAUACCAGGAGUCGUAGGCU
rnacentral:rRNA from 1 species